AUGAACGCUAGCUACAGGCUUAACACAUGCAAGUCGAGGGGCAGCAUUUUAGUUUGCUUGCAAACUGAAGAUGGCGACCGGCGCACGGGUGAGUAACACGUAUCCAACCUGCCGAUAACUCCGGGAUAGCCUUUCGAAAGAAAGAUUAAUACCGGAUAGCAUACGAAUAUCGCAUGAUAUUUUUAUUAAAGAAUUUCGGUUAUCGAUGGGGAUGCGUUCCAUUAGUUUGUUGGCGGGGUAACGGCCCACCAAGACUACGAUGGAUAGGGGUUCUGAGAGGAAGGUCCCCCACAUUGGAACUGAGACACGGUCCAAACUCCUACGGGAGGCAGCAGUGAGGAAUAUUGGUCAAUGGGCGCGAGCCUGAACCAGCCAAGUAGCGUGAAGGAUGAAGGCUCUAUGGGUCGUAAACUUCUUUUAUAUGGGAAUAAAGUUUUCCACGUGUGGAAUUUUGUAUGUACCAUAUGAAUAAGGAUCGGCUAACUCCGUGCCAGCAGCCGCGGUAAUACGGAGGAUCCGAGCGUUAUCCGGAUUUAUUGGGUUUAAAGGGAGCGUAGGUGGAUUGUUAAGUCAGUUGUGAAAGUUUGCGGCUCAACCGUAAAAUUGCAGUUGAAACUGGCAGUCUUGAGUACAGUAGAGGUGGGCGGAAUUCGUGGUGUAGCGGUGAAAUGCUUAGAUAUCACGAAGAACUCCGAUUGCGAAGGCAGCUCACUAGACUGUCACUGACACUGAUGCUCGAAAGUGUGGGUAUCAAACAGGAUUAGAUACCCUGGUAGUCCACACAGUAAACGAUGAAUACUCGCUGUUUGCGAUAUACAGUAAGCGGCCAAGCGAAAGCAUUAAGUAUUCCACCUGGGGAGUACGCCGGCAACGGUGAAACUCAAAGGAAUUGACGGGGGCCCGCACAAGCGGAGGAACAUGUGGUUUAAUUCGAUGAUACGCGAGGAACCUUACCCGGGCUUAAAUUGCAACAGAAUAUAUUGGAAACAGUAUAGCCGUAAGGCUGUUGUGAAGGUGCUGCAUGGUUGUCGUCAGCUCGUGCCGUGAGGUGUCGGGUUAAGUCCCAUAACGAGCGCAACCCCUACCGUUAGUUGCCAUCAGGUCAAGCUGGGCACUCUGGCGGGACUGCCGGUGUAAGCCGAGAGGAAGGUGGGGAUGACGUCAAAUCAGCACGGCCCUUACGUCCGGGGCUACACACGUGUUACAAUGGGGGGUACAGAAGGCGGCUACCUGGUGACAGGAUGCUAAUCCCAAAAACCUCUCUCAGUUCGGAUCGAAGUCUGCAACCCGACUUCGUGAAGCUGGAUUCGCUAGUAAUCGCGCAUCAGCCAUGGCGCGGUGAAUACGUUCCCGGGCCUUGUACACACCGCCCGUCACACCAUGAGAGUUGGGGAUACCCGAAGCCUGUGAGCCAACAUAUCUAUGAGGCAGCAGUCGAAGGUAGAAUCAAUGAUUGGGGUG
rnacentral:rRNA from 1 species